GAUGAACGCUGGCGGCGUGCCUAAUACAUGCAAGUCGAGCGAACAGACGAGGAGCUUGCUCCUCUGACGUUAGCGGCGGACGGGUGAGUAACACGUGGAUAACCUACCUAUAAGACUGGGAUAACUUCGGGAAACCGGAGCUAAUACCGGAUAAUAUAUUGAACCGCAUGGUUCAAUAGUGAAAGACGGUUUUGCUGUCACUUAUAGAUGGAUCCGCGCCGCUUUAGCUAGUGGGUAAGGUAACGGCUUACCAAGGCGACGAUGCGUAGCCGACCUGAGAGGGUGAUCGGCCACACUGGAACUGAGACACGGUCCAGACUCCUACGGGAGGCAGCAGUAGGGAAUCUUCCGCAAUGGGCGAAAGCCUGACGGAGCAACGCCGCGUGAGUGAUGAAGGUCUUCGGAUCGUAAAACUCUGUUAUUAGGGAAGAACAAAUGUGUAAGUAACUAUGCACGUCUUGACGGUACCUAAUCAGAAAGCCACGGCUAACUACGUG
rnacentral:rRNA from 1 species